GACGAACGCUGGCGGCGUGCCUAAUACAUGCAAGUAGAACGCAGUUUCGAACGGGUGAGUAACGCGUAUGUAACUGCCUCAUAGCGUGUGGUAACUAUUGGAAACGCUAGCUAAUACCGCAUACUUUGAGAUGGACCUCCGUUGUAUUAGCUAGUUGGUGUGUGAAAGGGUCACCAAGGCUACGAUACAUAGCCGACCUGGGAGGGGGGUCGGCCAGACCGGGACUGAGGCACGGCCCAGACUCCUCAGGGAGGCAGCAGGAGGGAAUCUUCGGCAAAGGACGGAAGGCUGACCGAGCAAAGCCGCGUGAGUGAAGAAGGGUUUCGGAUCGUAAAGCUCUGUUGUUAGAGAAGCGGUAACUAAUCAGAAAGGGACGGCUAACUACGUGCCAGCAGCCGCGGUAAUAC
rnacentral:rRNA from 1 species